rnacentral:rRNA from 1 species
UACGUAGGGGGCAAGCGUUGUCCGGAUUUAUUGGGCGUAAAGAGCGUGUAGGCGGCUUUGCAAGUCCGUUGUGAAAACUCGAGGCUCAACCUCGAGACGCCGGUGGAAACCAUCAGACUAGAGUCCGGAAGAGGAGAGUGGAAUUCCUGGUGUAGCGGUGAAAUGCGCAGAUAUCAGGAAGAACACCCGUGGCUAAGGCGGCUCUCUAGUACGGUACUGACGCUGAGACGCGAAAGCGUGGGGAGCGAACAGG